CUGGGAGCAGGGUGCUGGGCAGCCCUGCUCAGGUGCUGGCUGGGGAGCUGCCGAGCAGGAGCCGGCGGUGCCAGCUGCAGGCAGCGCGGCCGUGCCUGCCAGCCCAGAUUGUUUCAGUCCAGCGACCUCACAAGUGGCUUUGCUAAAGCUGCAAGUUGAUCUCAUGGAAGGAAAUUGAAUUGUCGUCGGGGCUGGGUUUUAUCUGGGCUUUGGGCUCCGCUGCCUGGCUCGGCCUAUUAACGUUUGCUCGUCUGAUUACAGACACAGCUCGGGGGGCUGGAGGAGGCCAGCGUGGGGCAGUGCACCCUUGGGGGCACUGAGGGAAAUAGGUGCAACAGCUGCUGGUGGCCUCGUCCCUCGUCCUUCUGCCUCGUGCCGCUUGGAGCAGCAGCUCCUCACCACGGCAAGGACAUGAAGAGCUUUGGGUCGCGAGGUGCAACAAACCCCCAGGACCAU
rnacentral:lncRNA from 1 species